GACGAACGCUGGCGGCGUGCUUAACACAUGCAAGUCGAACGGUGAAGCGCCUUCCUUUUUGGUGGGUGUGGAUGAGUGGCGAACGGGUGAGUAACACGUGAGUAACCUGCCCCCUUCUUCUGGAUAACCGCAUGAAAGUGUGGCUAAUACGGGAUAUUCUGGGUCUGUCGCAUGAUGGGUCUGGGAAAGAUAUUGUUUCGGUGGGGGAUGGGCUCGCGGCCUAUCAGCUUGUUGGUGGGGUGAUGGCCUACCAAGGCGGUGACGGGUAGCCGGCCUGAGAUGGUGGACGAUCACACAAGGACUGAGACACGGCCCAUACUCCUACGGGAAGCAGCAGUGGGUAAUAGUGCACAAUGGGCGCAAGCCUGAUGCAGCGACGCCGCGUGAGGGAUGGAGGCCUUCGGGUUGUGAACCUCUUGCGCCAGUGAAGCAGACCUGCCUCGUUUGUGGGUGGGUUGACGGUAGCUGGAUAAGAAGCGCCGGCUAACUACGUG
rnacentral:rRNA from 1 species